UCGGGUAAGUGCCGGGCACUCUGGAAGGACUGCCAUCGACAAGAUGGAGGAAGGUGGGGAGUGACGUCAAGUCAUCAUGGCCCUUAUGUCCAGGGCGACACACGUGCUACAAUGGCCGGCACAACGGGAAGCGAGUUCGCGAGGACGAGCGGAUCCCUCAAAGCCGGUCGCAGUUCGGAUUGAAGUCUGCAACUCGACUUCAUGAAGCUGGAAUCGCUAGUAAUCGUGGAUCAGCCAAGCCGCGGUGAAUACGUUCCGGGGCCUU
rnacentral:rRNA from 1 species